UACGAAGGGGGCUAGCGUUGCUCGGAAUCACUGGGCGUAAAGAGCUCGUAGGCGGUCUGUUGCGUCGGCUGUGAAAACCCGGGGCUCAACCCCGGGCCUGCAGCCGAUACGGGCAGACUAGAGUUCGGCAGGGGAGACUGGAAUUCCUGGUGUAGCGGUGAAAUGCGCAGAUAUCAGGAGGAACACCGGUGGCGAAGGCGGGUCUCUGGGCCGAUACUGACGCUGAGGAGCGAAAGCGUGGGGAGCGAACAGG
rnacentral:rRNA from 1 species